ensembl:lncRNA
CCAGCCCCAGCAGCAGCACAAGCAGCAGCAGCAGCAGCAACAUCCCAGCUACAAGCCCCAGCAGCAGCAGCAGCAGCCAAGCCAAGCCGCAGCAGCAGCAGCAACAUCCCAGCAGCAGCAGCCUAGCAGCAAGCCCCAGCAGCAGCAGCAUCCUAGCUACAAGCCCCAGCAGCAGCAGCAGCAUCCAAGCUACAAGCCCCAACAGCAACUCAGAAGUUUGCAUUCUGUACUUUUGCUUCAUUGAAAAUUCCAUCAAAUCCUUCAAUGAUAUAAAGUUCUCAAUUGUGUUCCUGCCAUGACAUGGUUCUACUGUCCAAAUUUGACAAAAGAAUAAAAAUAUCACUUUUAAAUGGUCAAAUUGGUCAUUGGCUAGGCUGAAUGCCAGCAGCAAAUGCAGAAACCCAUUUUGAUGCCUUUUCAGGAGCCGCUGCUUUGGUCUAAUGCAACGCUACAGUUCAGUGUGGAGUCUUUUUAUUAGAUCUUUAGUAUCUAGCUAUCAGCUUCCUGAACACCAGCAGAAGCCCCCAAACUACGAGCAGCAGCCUCCUUAUUUCAAGACGUCAUCUGAAUGUGUUUUGAAUUCACCUCUUUAAAAUUCACGUCUGGCAAUACAGAAAUUCAAACUAAUUUAGAUACAAAAGGUUGCACUACUCGACAAGUGGUCAAAUGACUGAAGAACCAGAACAUUCAAUGGCCUGGCCCACUGUUCCACCUCUAGCAGGAGGCUUCUCCUCUCACCUGGCUGCCCAUACCAUGUUAAAAGGGUCCUGGAGAUGGUCUGGUCACAUAAGCUCUUCCUCUACGAUGUCCAGAGCCCCCCACUCACUCUGAAACACAACACUCAACACCAGGAACUACAGUCAAUAUUAGCUAUUUGUAAUACUCAAAAUAUUACAACCAGGAGCAGGAUACUCUCAACUAGACCAAGGAAGAAUAAGCCCUAGUUAACCACUAGGUGGGGGGUGGAUUAACCAAUACUAGCCACACUUAUCCACAUCUACUUUGCUACCAAACACUGCGUGGAUCUCUGACACCAUAGGGUUUUCCCGCUCUAUCAGAGUGCUUCCAGUGCAAUCAUACAUGUUUAAUAAUCCUGAUACCUGCGGACUCCAUCAUGAACAACAUGCAUAGAUGUCAAGUCUGCUGUUCCAACUCAUUAGGCACACUGAUUAUGAUUGAGUUGCACCUUGUUUCAAACCAAUCAGUGCCUGAUCAGAAUGGGAUUAGAUGUGAAUCCUUAUAUAAAGCUUCAGCAGCAUUCCUCAUUUUACUGGAGUUGUAGUGGCAGGCUCACAGGCGUACUACAGUUGCUCGCCACCUCAACAAUGGCUUUAAUAAUGAGGGUACUUCAAUUGUCUCUACUCCUUGAUGUGGGCUGUCAAGUACAUGCUUACAGGAUCGGAUAUGCUGAGCCGGAGAUGCCUACGUAUGGGCUGCAGCAGCCUGCUAGCUACAAGCCACAGCAACCUCCUACUACAAGCCCCCAGCAGCAGCAACAUCCCAUUUACAAGCCCCAGCAGCAGCAGCAGCAGCAGCAUCCCAUUUACAAGCCCCCCAGCAGCAGCAACAUCCCAUUUACAAGCCCCAGCAGCUGCCAGCAGCAGCAACCCAGCUACAAGCCCAGCAGCAGCAACAUCCUAGCUACAAGCCCCAGCCCAAGCAGCAGCAGCAGCAGCAACAUCCUAGCUACAAGCCCCAGCCAGCAGCAGCAUCCUGGCUACAAGCCCCAGCAGCAGCAGCAGCAGCAACAUCCUAGCUACAAGCCGCAGCAGCCCCUGCAAGCAUCCUAGCUACAAGCCCCAGCAGCAUUCUAGCUACAAGCCCCAGCAGCCUCCUAGCUACAAGCCCCAGCCGCAGCCGCAGCAUCCAAGCUACAAGCAUCCUAGCUACAAGCCCCAGCAGCAACUCAGAAGUUGAGAAGUUUGCAUUCUGUAACUUUGCUUCAUUGAAAAUUCCAUCAAAUCCUUCAAUGGUAUAAAGUUCUCAAUUGUGUUCCUGCCAUGACAUGGUUCUACGGUCCAAAUUUGACAAAAGAAUAAAAAUAUCACUUUUAAAUAGUCAAAUUGGUCAUUGGCUAGGCUGAAUGCCAGCAGCAAAUUCAGAAACCUAUUUUGAUGCCUUUUCAGGAGCCGCUGCUUUGGUCUAAUGCAACGUUACAGUUCAGUAUGGAGUCUUUUUAUUAGAUCUUUAGUAUCUAGCUACCAGCCGCAUCAGCUUCCUGAACACCAGCAGAAGCCCCCAAACUACGAGCAGCAGCCUCCUUAUUUCAAGACGUCAUCUGAAUGUGUUUUGAAUUCACCUCUGGCAAUACAGAAAUUCAAACGUUCACUAAUUUAGAUACAUAAGGUUGCACUACUCUACAAGUGGUCAAACGACUGAAGAACCAGAAAAUUCAAUGGCCUGGCCCACUGCUCCACCUCUAGCAGAAGGCUUCUCCUCUCACCUGGCUGUCAGAUCCGUCAAUGCUACCACCACCUGAAAGGUGCCAGUGAAACCUGUAUCCAGUAAUGGUUGUAAAAGGCUGGUGAGACUCGCUCAGCCCCUUACUAUCUUGCAUCAGACGCCUACCCCACUUACAUCAGUGCCCUACCCCUGGGCAUAACCCAUAGCCAGGGAUGUGGCGUGCGGAUCGCGUCUGUUAUGAUAGCUCUCCUCUGGGAUCCGUGCACUUAGUGAAUUUGCUGAGAUUGUUCUAUUUCAUGUAGGC